GUGAGAAGCCCCGUUCAGACACAGGCUAGCACGCUGGAAGAGAAGGGUUAGCUGGCCCAGCCGUAGCGUGGGCUUCAGCAUACGUUCAGAUGUGUGACCCGUGUGCCUGCCUUGCAGCACUUGGGUCCCUCCAAAACAAGGCAGAGAAGCAGCAUGUGAAACGAGAGGACCUGAGCGAUGAGGAAAUCCUCACCUGACCAGAGGUUCCCUAGAAGAGGCCACCCGAGGAGGUCGUGCCCACCCCACAGGGAGCCUCGCCCCCAUGAUUUCAGACCCGUUCCACACACCCCUGACUUCCCCAGGGGUGACGAGGGCCAGGGCUGGGUACCCCAUGACCAUCUGGAGCUGGCCAGAUGGGAUUAUGAGCAGGGGGAGUGCGCAGAUGAGUGGUGUUUGCCCUGUCCCCAGGACUUUGAAUGCUUCCCCUGCCCCGCAAAUGGUGAAGACUGGGGGUGGGAGCCUUAUGAUGACUGGCAGCCGCACGUUUGGGAUUACCAGCACGGGAGACACGAAGACGAGUGGCACUCGAACGUGACCCCCGAUCAGCACUGCCUGAAGCCUCGCAUGCACAAUGCGUCCCUGCACCCGAUGGAGGAGUAUUGUCACAUGGACGCAGUGCUGGGAGACCAAGGGGCUGCCUGCUUUCCUCCAAGCUAUCGGGGCCGUGGCUGGAAACCUCGCUGGGGCCGGGGCCGGGGCCGGGGUCGGAGCCGGGGCCGUGGCAGUGGCAGCCGAGGGAAAUUCUCUUCUCAAUACCACAGCUUUGCACCCUGCAGAGAAAAGUUCAAGUCCUCCAGGCUGUCGGAUUCCUACUCCACAAAGAAUCUCAGAGUGAUCCAGCUGGAGCCCGUACAGGAGACCAGCAAGCAUCCCAGCCAGGCCAGCUCUACCACAGAAGCUGACCACCCCUCAUCUGAGGCCGCUGAGCCGCUUGAUCCCAUAAGGCCGGAGGAAACCGAGCUGGUCCAGCUGGGAGCCGGUCUGGAGGCUGCAGACUGUCACAGCCAGGCCUGGUCUUCUCUGGCAACUGAGCCAGUCCCGAUGGAAGAUCCCCAUUUCUUGCAGGGGGAGGAAAUCAAGCUGGUCCAGCUGGAUGUCGGCUGCCAGGCCACAGAGAAUAGCAGCCAACCUGCCUUUGAUGUGCUUCCUGAGCCCUCCACCCCACCGGAGACCACAGAGGACCUGUGUCCUGUGAAGCUAGAAGGAAUGGACUUGCAUCUCCCGCUGCAGCUGGAAGCAAGCCAUCUGGCCGUGGAUCAUCCCAUCCAGGCUACAUCUGCUCUAGCUACCGAACCCCCAGCCCUGCCUGACACCACAGAGGAUCUGCAUCUGCUGAGAAUGGAAGAGACUGAGAUGGACCAGCUGGGCACCAGUCUGGAGUCUGCCAACUACCAGCCCCAGGGCUCUGUUGCUGUGUUCACGCCGCCCCCGAGCACUGAGGACCGUCGCUCUGCAGCUAUACUGGCCAGGAAGGAAGAGAUCGAGCUGUCCUACCAGCAGUUCAGUCUUACCAUCGCAGUGGUGGCCACCAUGCUGCUGCAGAAGGAGCCCUCCAUGGAGGCGGCAAUGGGCUCGGCCCUGCGUGCCAACCUACAGCAGAUCAGGGGCCAUUACCUGCAGGAGCUGGAGAAUUUCAUUGACAGCUACGACUCGGCCGCCACCAGCUCGUGAGACACCGCAUGGCUGGAGACACCUGUCCUUGGCUCUGGACCAGGUCAAGGGAGUGGUGCCUGCUGAAGGCUGAGGCCAGCCAGAUGCUUCUGUCAGCAGCAAUGGAGGGACCUGCUGGGGUUGUAUGAGCAGCCAGCUGGCACAGACUGAGGGAGAAGGGCUCAGGGGCCUCGGUAUUGCUCUACAUUGGGCAGUGGGGUCUGGUCCUGAAAUGGGAAAGGGACUUCUGGCUGGGGGGCGACCGCUCUGAGGAGCUGCAGCCACGGGGUUGAAGGGCAUGGGAAGGAACUGGGGCAGGAGCACUGUUGGUGCGGGGUUGUUGUGGAAGCAAAAUUCCUGGACUCCUGGCAGUUUUUGCCAGCCUGGGGCUGGGUUGCAGCCUCAUGGCUUUACCUGGGUUCUGGGCAGGGAACCCUACACAGGGCCUGGCAGCGGGCCUGGGGCUUGUGCAGUUUUAUUAGUGGAGAAAAAUAAAACAGCAGGUGAAAUUCCCCGUCCCCA
rnacentral:lncRNA from 1 species